rnacentral:lncRNA from 1 species
AUUUUAAAAUUUAAAAUUGAGUUGACAAUUUAAGACAUAAAAUUAAUUUACGAUUGAUUGGAAUUAAAACUUAAAAAAUGUAAUUUAAAUUAUAAUUUGAAUAUACAAACUUAAUUUAAAUUUUAAAUAAAAUUUAAAAUAUAAAAUUUGAAUGUAAAUUUAAAUUUAUAUACCAAAUACAAAAUGCUGAUUCAAUUUAAAUUUCAAUUUCAGUGCAAAUCAAUAUCUAAAAUCUAAAAUUUAGUUUCUAAUUUAAAAUAAUAUUUUAAUUAAAAAUUAAAGUUAAAUUUUAUAAAUAUAUAAAAUAUAAUUGAGAUAUUUGUGUAACAAACAUUUAUUCUACUCAUAUUCAAAUGAGAGAUCUCAUUCCACCAGAAAAUCGGAAUAGGAUGAGACUCUCAUAUACCAAAUUCUUGCAAAUGGAAUAAGUUCAUUUCUACUAUGAUUGGUUGAUAGAAAAAGAAUGAUCAAACAAGUUAUAACAUUUUUCUUUCUCUUCUCCAAUAAGGAGGUUUUUUUGUUUGUUCUUUUCUUUUCUUUCUUCAGUCUUCCUUACUAUUCUCUUCCGACUAAAAAAAGUUGCAGUAAUAUGAAUAGCUAACUAGUAAAGUUAUCCGCGCAUUGCGGCGGGCUGAUACUAUGAGAGACAGAAGAUUGACAAACUAAAAUAUUUUAAAAUUUUUUCACUUGUCAUGAGAAAUCAAUAAAUACAAAUAAAAGAUAUAAAACAGAUAUAACAACAUUUAUAAUUUCAACAAAUAAAUUAUACGCGAUAAUAAUUAAAAAAAAAAGCAAUAAAACACUACUCCAUACGCACCUUAAUUGUGUUGCUGAUAUCGGAAAGGCGAAUCUUGAUCUCCACUUCUUAUUCACUGCUAUUAUUAACGUCGAGUUUCUGUUUAAUCACGAUAAUACAUAUCUUAUUUUAUUUAUUUUUUUAUAAUAUUGAUUUAUUUAGAUGACAAUGAAUGUGAACAUAUUAAUUAAGAAAUUGCCAUAUGAGAAGACGAAACAUCACAUGAAGAUAAAAGAGAAUAAAUUCGAUCAUUAGGAAUUAGGAAGAAGGCAAAGAUGGGAGAAGAAGGCAAGAAUGAAGGAAACUUUGUCAUGUGGCAAAGUUUAUGAGGAAUAAUGUAUAAGGUAAGGUAUAGAAGGUAUAGAUAACUACACAUGAAACAUAUAAAA